rnacentral:rRNA from 1 species
GACGAACGCUGGCGGCGUGCUUAACACAUGCAAGUCGAACGACGUGGCGAACGGGUGAGUAACGCGUAAUCAACCUGCCCUUCAGAGGGGGACAACAGUUGGAAACGACUGAUAAUACCGCAUACCGUAGGCGGGGAUUGCGUGGUAUUAGCUAGUUGGAGGGGUAACGGCCCACCAAGGCGAUGAUCAGUAGCCGGUCUGGGAGGAUGAACGGCCACAUUGGGACUGAGACACGGCCCAGACGCCUACGGGAGGCAGCAGUGGGGAAUCUUCCGCAAUGGACGAAAGUCUGACGGAGCAACGGCGCGUGAGUGAUGACGGCCUUCGGGUUGUAAAGCUCUGUUAAUCGGGACGCGGUACCGGAAUAGAAAGCCACGGCUAACUACGUGCCAGCAGCCGCGGUAAUUC